CACUUACCAAUUGUUUGUGCAGUUCACGUCUGCAGACAUUUGCUCAUCUCCCGUCAGAACAGGAUCUGCACACGUGAUCACAUUUUCUAUUCCACAUUUCUAUUGUAGCGUACUGUAUGUAUGGAGCAUAAUAUAUUUGUGUAUAUUCUUUAUCACCGCGGACACGUGAGCUACCAUGGCCUUAUGACUCUCAAGUGGUGCAGCGGUUAAAGGCACAGCACAUCAGUACUAGAGGCGUCACUACAGACUCCCUGGUUCAAAUCCAGGCUGCGUUUCCAUCAAAAAACCAGAAACAUUAUUUGCCAAUAUCAUAACUGGAGCUGGACAUCUUUGGAGCUGAAGAAUGAGGACAGCUUUUGUAUGCUAAUGUACACUCCUUAACAGUUGUACUGGAUGAAAACACAGCAAGAAAACACAUAUGCCAAUAUGUAAUAUUAAUCUAUUUUAUUGCAGUACUGGUAGUUGGUUCAACAACUUGUUUUACUAGAGGACAAUAAAACGGAAUAUGCAUAACCCAUAUUUAAUAUCCAUGCAGUGACUGAACAACAACUGCAUUUCCACCCCCAUCUCUAAGGCAUAGUAUCAUGGCUGCAACAACACUGAAUGGCGCAGAGUGGGAGGUUACGUGGUUGACUGCCGGCACGCGCUACUUGUAUCAAUAAAUCACUAUCAGAAAAUGU